rnacentral:rRNA from 1 species
GACGCACGCUGGCGGCGUGCCUAAUACAUGCAAGUCGAACGCAGUGGGGACGGGAGAGUAACACGUGGGUAACCUCCCAUCAGAGGGGAUAACACUUGGAAACAGGUGCUAAACCGAUACUGAUGGAUGAACCCGCGGUGCAUUAGCUAGUUGGUGAGGUAACGGCUAACCAAGGCCACGAUGCAUAGCCGACCGGUGAUGUGAAUCGGCACAACGUGGACUGAUAUACGGGCAAGACUCCUACGGUAGGCACAAGUAGGGAAUCUUCGGCAAUGGCCGAAAGUCUGACCUUGCAACGUCGCGUGAAUGAAGAAGGUUUUCGCAUCUUAAAACUCUUUUGUUAGACAAGCGGUAUCUAACCAGAAAGCCACGGCUAACUACGUGCCAGCAGCCGCGUUAAA